GUAAAGAGCUCGUAGGUGGUUUGUCGCGUUGUUCGUGAAACCUCACGGCUUAACUGUGAGCGUGCGGGCGAUACGGGCAGACUUGAGUACUGCAGGGGAGACUGGAAUUCCUGGUGUAGCGGUGGAAUGCGCAGAUAUCAGGAGGAACACCGGUGGCGAAGGCGGGUCUCUGGGCAGUAACUGACGCUGAGGAGCGAAAGCGUGGGGAGCGAACAGGAUUAGAUACCCUGGUAGUCCACGCCGUAAACGGUGGGUACUAGGUGUGGGUUUCCUUCCUUGGGAUCCGUGCCGUAGCUAACGCAUUAAGUACCCCGCCUGGGGAGUACGGCCGCAAGGCUAAAACUCAAAGAAAUUGACGGGGGCCCGCACAAGCGGCGGAGCAUGUGGAUUAAUUCGAUGCAACGCGAAGAACCUUACCUGGGUUUGACAUGCACAGGACGCCGGCAGAGAUGUCGGUUCCCUUGUGGCCUGUGUGCAGGUGGUGCAUGGCUGUCGUCAGCUCGUGUCGUGAGAUGUUGGGUUAAGUCCCGCAACGAGCGCAACCCUUGUCUCAUGUUGCCAGCGGGUAAUGCCGGGGACUCGUGAGAGACUGCCGGGGUCAACUCGGAGGAAGGUGGGGAUGACGUCAAGUCAUCAUGCCCCUUAUGUCCAGGGCUUCACACAUGCUACAAUGGCCGGUACAAAGGGCUGCGAUGCCGCGAGGUUAAGCGAAUCCUUUUAAAGCCGGUCUCAGUUCGGAUCGGGGUCUGCAACUCGACCCCGUGAAGUCGGAGUCGCUAGUA
rnacentral:rRNA from 1 species